rnacentral:rRNA from 1 species
AUAACGCUCGGCGUGCUGCUUUAACAUGCAGUCGAACGGCAGCACGGGGGCAACCCUGGUGGCGAGUGGCGAACGGGUGAGUAAUGUAUCGGAACAUGUCCGGAAGUGGGGGAUAACGUAGCGAAAGUUACGCUAAUACCGCAUAUGCCCUGAGGGGGAGAGGAGGGGAUCGCAAGACCUUUCGCUUUCGGAGUGGCCGAUAUCAGAUUAGCUAGUUGGUGAGGUAAAGGCUCACCAAGGCGACGAUCUGUAGCUGGUCUGAGAGGACGACCAGCCACACUGGGACUGAGACACGGCCCAGACUCCUACGGGAGGCAGCAGUGGGGAAUUUUGGACAAUGGGGGCAACCCUGAUCCAGCCAUGCCGCGUGAGUGAAGAAGGCCUUCGGGUUGUAAAGCUCUUUCAGCCGGAAAGAAAUCGUGCAGAUUAAUACUCUGCAUGGAUGACGGUACCGGAAAAAGAAGCACCGGCUAACUACGUGCCAGCAGCUGCGGUAAUACGUAGGGUGCGAGCGUUAAUCGGAAUUACUGGGCGUAAAGCGUGCGCAGGCGGUUUUGUAAGACAGACGUGAAAUCCCCGGGCUUACCUGGGAACUGCGUUUGUGACUGCAAGGCUAGAGUAUGGCAGAGGGGGUAGAUUCCACGUGUAGCAGUGAAUGCGUAAAGAUGUGAGGAAUACCGAUGGCGAAGGC